rnacentral:SRP_RNA from 1 species
GGUCGGUUCCCCCGCAAUGUGAUGUUGUGAACCCCGUCAGGUCCGGAAGGAAGCAGCGGCAGCAACGGAUACGUGUGCCGGGGUGUAGCUGGCUGAU